CUCCUUUACCAGUUUGUAUCCAAGGGGCAUCCAGUUCAAACGGCCUCACACGGUCGCCCCCUGGCCACCUGCCUACCCGCUUGUCACCUCCUACCCACCCCUGAGCCCGCCAGACCUGCUCCCCAUCCCAAGAUCCCCGCAGCCCCUCGGGGGCUCCCACCGGACGCCAUCUUCCCGGCGGGAUUCUGAUGGUGUCAACAGUGUGGCGAGCUACGAGAACGAGGAACCAGCCUGUGAGGACGCGGAUGAGGAUGAGGAUGACUAUCACAACCCGGGCUACCUGGUGGUGCUUCCCGACAGCACCCCGGCUGCUAGCACUGCUGCCCCAUCAGCUCCUGCCCUCAGCACCCCUGGCAUCCGAGACAGUGCCUUCUCCAUGGAGUCCAUUGAUGAUUACGUGAACGUUCCGGAGAGCGGGGAGAGCGCAGAAGCGUCUCUGGAUGGCAGCCGGGAGUAUGUGAAUGUGUCCCAGGAACUGCAUCCUGGAGCGGCUAAGACUGAGCCUGCCGCCCUGAGUUCCCAGGAGGCAGAGGAAGUGGAGGAAGAGGGGGCUCCAGAUUACGAGAAUCUGCAGGAGCUGAACUGAGGGCCUGUGGAGGCCGAGUCUGUCCUGGAACCAGGCUUGCCUGGGACGGCUGAGCUGGGCAGCUGGAAGUGGCUCUGGGGUCCUCACAUGGCGUCCUGCCCUUGCUCCAGCAUGA
rnacentral:sRNA from 1 species